GAAAAAUUAGUUAAAUAAUAUAACAUGAGCCUGUCACGCCCAAAUUAUCAAAUAAUUGAUAUUUUUCA
rnacentral:tRNA from 1 species